CGAGUCGACCGGGUAAUCGCGGCGCCACGUAUCGGCCUUUUAAGGUGCUGACGUGGGUCGAGGAAAGUCCGGACUCCGCAGAGCACGGUGGUUGCUAACAGCAACCCAGGGUGACCUGAGGGAACAGUGCAACAGAGAGUAGACCGCCUGGGUAACUAGGUAAGGGUGAAAGGGUGCGGUAAGAGCGCACCGGCAUUACGGGUGACCGGAAUGGCCAGGUAAACCCCACCGGGAGCAAGGCAAGAGGCCGCACCUUUGUGGUGUGGCUGCGCGGGUUGGGCUGCUCGUCCAACAACCCGCGGGUAGCUGCUUGAGGCAUCGUGGCAACACGGUGUCCAGAUAGAUGAUUACCGCCCGCGAGGGAACAUAAUCCGGCUCAUAGGUUGGCUCGUUCG
rnacentral:RNase_P_RNA from 1 species